rnacentral:lncRNA from 1 species
CUUGAACUCAGAGAACUCCAGGGAUUAAAGGCAUGUACUUACCUUGCCAAGGCCUAAGAUUUCAUAGUCCCUAUGCCUCAAGAUCUCCACGUCAGAAAGCUUUGUGUUCCAGCUUCAAGAUCUGGAUCACAGGUGUGCCCUCCAUUUCUGGAUUGUAGUUCAUUCCAGAUGUGGUCAAGUGACAACCAGGCAGAGCCAUCACAGGUGUGCUGUUAGAUAGUCACACAGAGAAGCAAGUUACACUUCAGUUUCUUCCUUCAAGAACACAACUGAGAAGAAAGAAAACCAAAAGAUCUAGGAA